rnacentral:rRNA from 1 species
GAACUGAAGAGUUUGAUCAUGGCUCAGAUUGAACGCUGGCGGCAGGCCUAACACAUGCAAGUCGAGCGGAUGAAGGGAGCUUGCUCCUGGAUUCAGCGGCGGACGGGUGAGUAAUGCCUAGGAAUCUGCCUGGUAGUGGGGGAUAACGUCCGGAAACGGGCGCUAAUACCGCAUACGUCCUGAGGGAGAAAGUGGGGGAUCUUCGGACCUCGCGCUAUCAGAUGAGCCUAGGUCGGAUUAGCUAGUUGGUGGGGUAAAGGCCUACCAAGGCGACGAUCCGUAACUGGUCUGAGAGGAUGAUCAGUCACACUGGAACUGAGACACGGUCCAGACUCCUACGGGAGGCAGCAGUGGGGAAUAUUGGACAAUGGGCGAAAGCCUGAUCCAGCCAUGCC